UCGGGGUCCACGUGCAGCUUGUCGCAGUGCAGCUCCGACAGCUGGGCGAAGGUGUUCUUGAUGUUGUCCAGGUUCUUGACGGCUUCCCCGAAGGAGGUGAGCACUUUCUUGCCAUGGGCGCGGACCAUGGGGUUGCCAGAGAUGGC